rnacentral:tRNA from 1 species
GAUUCUUUAGUAUAAUUUAGUAUGUUUAAUUUCCAAUUAAGUGGUUUAGAGAAUUA